rnacentral:rRNA from 1 species
AUACGUAGGUGGCAAGCGUUGUCCGGAAUUAUUGGGCGUAAAGCGCGCGCAGGUGGUUUCUUAAGUCUGAUGUGAAAGCCCACGGCUCAACCGUGGAGGGUCAUUGGAAACUGGGAGACUUGAGUGCAGAAGAGGAUAGUGGAAUUCCAAGUGUAGCGGUGAAAUGCGUAGAGAUUUGGAGGAACACCAGUGGCGAAGGCGACUAUCUGGUCUGUAACUGGCACUGAGGCGCGAAAGCGUGGGGAGCAAACAGGAUUAGAUACCCUGGUGGUCCACGCCGUAAACGAUGAGUGCUAAGUGUUAGGGGGUUUCCGCCCCUUAGUGCUGCAGCUAACGCAUUAAGCACUCCGCCUGGGGAGUACGGUCGCAAGACUGAAACUCAAAUGAAUUGACGGGG